GAGUUUGAUCAUGGCUCAGGAUGAACGCUAGCGGGAGGCUUAACACAUGCAAGUCGAGGGGUAACAUUAUCUUCGGAUAGAUGACGACCGGCGAACGGGUGCGUAACGCGUACAUAACCUGCCUUACAGAGGGGGAUAGCCUAAAGAAAACUGAGAUUAAUACCCCAUAGUAUCAUGUAGUCGCAUGGCUUAAUGAUUAAAACUUUUGGGUGCUGUAAGAUGGAUGUGCGUCCUAUUAGCUAGUUGGUGAGGUAACGGCUCACCAAGGCAUCGAUAGGUAGGGGGCGUGAGAGCGUGAUCCCCCACACGGGCACUGAGACACGGGCCCGACUCCUACGGGAGGCAGCAGUGAGGAAUAUUGGACAAUGGGUGAGAGCCUGAUCCAGCCAUCCCGCGUGCAGGAUGACUGCCCUAUGGGUUGUAAACUGCUUUUAUCAGGGAAGAAUAGCUGACAUUUAUGUUGGUAUGACGGUACCUGAAGAAUAAGCACCGGCUAACUCCGUGCCAGCAGCCGCGGUAAUACGGAGGGUGCAAGCGUUAUCCGGAAUCACUGGGUUUAAAGGGUGCGUAGGCGGCGUAAUAAGUCAGAGGUGAAAGACUGCGGCUAAACCGCAGAGUUGCCUUUGAUACUGUUAUGCUAGAAUGUGGUGGAGGUGAGCGGAAUGUGUCAUGUAGCGGUGAAAUGCAUAGAUAUGACAUAGAACACCAAUUUGCGAAGGCAGCUCACUACGCCAUUAUUGACGCUGAGUCACGAAAGCGUGGGUAGCGAACAGGGAUUAGAUACCCUGGGUAGUCCCACGCCCCUUAAACGGAUGG
rnacentral:rRNA from 1 species